rnacentral:rRNA from 1 species
AUCCUACGGGAGGCAGCAGUGGGGGAUAUUGCACAAUGGGGGGAACCCUGAUGCAGCGACGCCGCGUGGGUGAAGGAGCGUUUCGGCGCGUAAAGCCCUAUCGGCAGGGGAGAAGGAGGACGGUACCUGACUAAGAAGCCCCGGCUAACUACGUGCCGGCAGCCGCGGUAAUACGUAGGGGGCCAGCGUUAUCCGGAUUUACUGGGUGUAAAGGGGGCGCAGACGGCAGCGCAAGCCAGGAGUGAAAGCCCGGGGUCCAACCCCGGGUCUGCAGUUGGAACUGCGCGGCUGGGG